rnacentral:ncRNA from 1 species
GCAUAAAUUCGCCAUCCCCGUCGCAAGGCGGGUUCGGAAAGCCGCGGGUCUUGCCGCUCAGCGAGAUAGCCGGGCUGCUUUC